ACGGCCAUACAGCGUUGAAACACCGGUUCCCGUAAGAUCUCCAGAGUUAAGGAACAUCGAGCCUGUUUAGUAACUAGAUGCGUGACCACCUGAAAAUAGCAGGUGCAGUU